rnacentral:lncRNA from 1 species
CGCCGCUAGAGCGCUGCAGCAGCGCCAAGGCGGCCAGCAGCGAGGGCCCUUCCGCACUCCUUUCCGCCGCUCCGGGGGUUUGAAGGCGGCUGCAGGCGCGCGCCACAGUCCGUAGGUCCGCUCUGCUGGCCCCGGGUCGCGCUCAGCCCUCGCGGCGCAGAGCGGCCGGGCCUCGGCUCAUCGUCCCGCGCUCGCUCGCCUCCUCUCCGCGCGCCCGACCACUUCUCCCCGCCGCGCCGGGCGGCGGUGACUCCGCCGGACAGAGAGGGCGGAGGCGCCGCAAGUUUCCUCUGGGGCCGCGGUGCGCAGUCAAGAUGGCUGGGCCGGGCCGCUUGCCGCGCCGGGUCAGCCCUGGCGGCCACCACUCGGCCCCCGGGGGCUCAUGCCCGCCCCCAAGGCCAAGCCGCCGCCGCCGCCGCCGGAGUUGGGGACCCGCCUCGGCCCAGGCCGCCGCCCUCUUUCUCCGGCGUCCGUCCUUCGUCCGUCCGCCGCCGGGACAGACGGACCCCCGCCGCCUGGAAAAGUCAGCGCCGCGCUCCGGCCGCAGUCGGGCGAGGUGCACACAGUCUCCUUCCUGCUGGACACCCAGGAGCAAAUCCAGACCGGAAGGCGGAGCGGACACCUGAGUGGCGCGGCCCGCGCCCAGCCGCCGCCUCCUCCUCGGCGGGAGCAGCGCCCUUAGCCCAACUUCCCGGCUCCAGCCCCGCUCGCGCCGCGCU